GACGAACGCUGGCGGCGUGCUUAACACAUGCAAGUCGAACGAAGUGGCGAACGGGUGAGUAACGAGUAAUAAACCUGCACUUCAGAGGGGGUCAACAGUUGGAAACGACUGCUAAUACCGAAUAAGGACGGAGGGGAUGGCGUCUGAUUAGCUAGUUGGAGGGGUAACGGCCCACCAAGGCGAUGAUCAGGAGCCGGUCUGAGAGGAUGAACGGCCACAUUUGGACGUAGACACGGCCCAGACUCCUACGGGAUGCAGCAGUGGGGAAUCGUCCUCAAUGGACGAAAGUCUGACGGAGCAACGCCGGGUGAGUGAUGACGGCCUUCGGGUUGUAAAGCUCUGUUAAUCGGGACGCGGUACCGGAAUAGAAAGCCACGGCUAACUACGUGCCAGCAGCCGCGGUAAUUC
rnacentral:rRNA from 1 species